rnacentral:tRNA from 1 species
GCGCUCGUAGCUCAGUGGAUAGAGCAUCAGCUUGCGGAGCUGAGGGUCGAAGGUUCGAGUCCUUUCGAGCGCG